CUUUACCAUUUCAGGCUGAUCCAAACUCAUAAUAUGAAUAGAUGGACAUUGACCAAAGAGACCAGCAGCAGAACAAAAGCAUAAACAAACAUGAGAGUAGGCUAAUUUUACCAACCUGAGGUCAAAAAGUUCUCAUGAGAUCUGGUCGUUUGAAAGCAUGUACCACUUCCCUCUUCGCUCACUCUCUCCCUCCCGCUCCACCAUGUGAAGAUUGUGCCUGCUUCUCCUUCACCUUCUGCCAUGAUUGUAAAUUUCCUGAGGCCUCCCCAGCCAUGCCUCCUGUACAGAGACUGUGGAACUGUGAGUCAAUUAAACCUCUUUUCUUUAUGAA
ensembl:lncRNA PFN2-AS1 PFN2 antisense RNA 1